rnacentral:rRNA from 1 species
UACGGAGGGUGCAAACGUUGCUCGGAAUCAUUGGGCGUAAAGCGCACGUAGCGGUCCUUUAAGUCGGGUGUGAAAGCCCUCGGCUCAACCGAGGAAGUGCAUUCGAAACUGGGGGACUUGAAUACUGGAGAGGAUGGCGGAAUUCCCGGUGUAGAGGUGAAAUUCGUAGAUAUCGGGAGGAACACCAGCGGCGAAAGGCGG